rnacentral:misc_RNA from 1 species
GAUGAAGAACGUAGUGAAAUGCGAUACUUGGUGUGAAUUGCAGAAUCCCGUGAACCAUCGAGUCUUUGAACGCAAGUUGCGCCCGAAGCCAUUAGGCCGAGGGCACGCCUGCCUGGGCGUCACACGUCGUUGCCCCCCCACCUACUCCUUCGGGAUUGCGGGGGGCGGAUGAUGGCCUCUCGUGCGCCUCGUCGCGCGGUUGGCCUAAAUGCCAAGUCCUCGGCGACGCACGCCACGACAAUCGGUGGUUGCGAAACCUCGGUUGCCUGUCGUGUGCGGUCGUCGCGCAUCGAGGGCUCGAAAAAAUUGCCGGGCUUCGGCUCGACUUUCAACGCGACCCCAGGUCAGGCGGGGUUACCCGCUGAAUUUAAGCAUAUCAAUAAGCGGAGGA